AGACCUCUUACUUUUAAAGGAUAAAAG
rnacentral:tRNA from 1 species